CCUCCUCUCCCUCCUGACUCUUGCCAGCUGCCCUCCUCCCAGGAUGCUGCCUCCUCCAGGGACCCUGGCCUGAGCACCGCCCACAGACCCGGAUUAGCUUCCUGGGUUUCAUCCUCCACUUGGAACCGAGGCGCUGCAGCAGAGAGGACAGCAGCUCCCCCCACCCCAUUUCUCCUCCCUGUGCCCCUCAGAUAAAGCCAUUUCCCUAGAACAAUCCACCUUCAGUCAGCUCACAGGGACGGGGCUACACCGCAAAUGGCCCCUCAACCCCGGCCUCAAACCUCUGCCCUCAUCUUCUCAGUCAGUCCAGGAGGUCACAGAGCCCCCCACAAGGAGAACCAGCCCCAGGUGGGUGUGAACUCUGUCCUGCCCAGCCUCUAACCCAUCACCCACCCUCCUGUUCCCAUGCAGAGGAUCCUUCCAGAAUCUGGAGGAGAAAUACGAGAACAUUGGGAACAAAGAAUGAUGGCAUCCUCUAUGCCCCCCUCACCCUUCACAACGUGCCCUCACCGGCCGCACCUCCAUGCCCUCCCGCCCACGGGGGCCCCCAGGAAGAGACCCUGUACUCUGCCCUGAAGACCUAAGGACUGGGACGAGUGAUGACCUCCUUAGGGUCAGCCAUGCACGGGGAUCUCACUUCCCCAUAAUCAGAGCCAAACACAGACCGCUCCGAAGCCAGCAGGUGCCGAAGGCCACCGAGGACCUGAGCACCUACCUGCUCCAAUUCCUCUUCGACUGCCCAGCCCUUGACCAC
rnacentral:lncRNA from 1 species